rnacentral:tRNA from 1 species
CGAUAGCUCAGCCGGAUAGAGCGAUCGCCUCCUAAGCGAUAGGUCGCAGGUUCGAAUCCUGCUCGGG